rnacentral:rRNA from 1 species
UCCGGAAGUCAUCGAUGCCACGCUUCCAGGAAAAGCCUCUAAGCUUCAGAUCACAUGCGACCGUACCCCAAACCGACACAGGUGGUCAGGGUGAGAAUCCCAAGGCGCUUGAGAGAACUCGGGUGAAGGAACUAGGCAAAAUGGCACCGUAACUUCGGGAGAAGGUGCGCCGGCGUAGCGUGAAGAGACUCGCUCUCCUAGCGCGAACCGGUCGAAGAUACCAGGUGGCUGCAACUGUUUAUUAAAAACACAGCACUCUGCUAACGCGUAAGCGGACGUAUAGGGUGUGACGCCUGCCCGGUGCCGGAAGGUUAAUUGAUGGUGUUAGCGCAAGCGAAGCUCCUGAUCGAAGCCCCGGUAAACGGCGGCCGUAACUAUAACGGUCCUAAGGUAGCGAAAUUCCUUGUCGGGUAAGUUCCGACCUGCACGAAUGGCGUAAUGAUGGCCACGCUGUCUCCACCCGAGACUCAGUGAAAUUGAAAUCGCAGUGAAGAUGCUGUGUACCCGCGGCUAGACGGAAAGACCCCGUGAACCUUUACUAUAGCUUCACACUGGACGCUGAUGUUGCUUGUGUAGGAUAGCUGGGAGGCUUGGAAACCGUGACGCCAGUUGCGGUGGAGCCAACCUUGAAAUACCAGCCUGGCAUCAUUGGCGUUCUAACUUCGCACCGUGAUCCGGUGUAAGGACAGUGUGUGGUGGGUAGUUUGACUGGGGCGGUCUCCUCCGAAAGCGUAACGGAGGAGCACGAAGGUACCCUCAGCACGGUUGGAAAUCGUGCAUUGAGUGCAAGAGCAUAAGGGUGCUUAACUGCGAGACAGACACGUCGAGCAGGUACGAAAGUAGGUUCUAGUGAUCCGGUGGUUCUGUAUGGAAGGGCCAUCGCUCAACGGAUAAAAGGUACUCCGGGGAUAACAGGCUGAUACCGCCCAAGAGUUCACAUCGACGGCGGUGUUUGGCACCUCGAUGUCGGCUCAUCACAUCCUGGGGCUGAAGUCGGUCCCAAGGGUAUGGCUGUUCGCCAUUUAAAGUGGUACGCGAGCUGGGUUUAGAACGUCGUGAGACAGUUCGGUCCCUAUCUGCCGUGGGCGUUGGAGAUUUGAGAAGCGCUGCUCCUAGUACGAGAGGACCGGAGUGGACGCACCUCUGGUGUUCCGGUUGUCACGCCAGUGGCACUGCCGGGUAGCUAUGUGCGGACGGGAUAACCGCUGAAAGCAUCUAAGCGGGAAGCCCCCUUCAAGAUGAGAUCUCCCUGAGACUUCGAGUCUCCUAAAGGGUCCAGCAAGACGAGCUGGUUGAUAGGCACGGUGUGGAAGCGCUGCAAGGCGUUGAGCUAACGUGUACUAAUGCCCCGUGAGGCUUGACCAUAUAACCCCAAGGGGUCUGGG